rnacentral:misc_RNA from 1 species
CUACCUUCAAGCACGGCUUGGUUGUUGAGCCAAUUGUCCUUUUUGAUGGACAGGCUUAAAAUGCAGUGGCGAUGCCGAGUCCUGGUGCCCGAGCGUAUGGAGCUCUGUCAUAACGCUUUAGUGGCCUAGCCGGCAUUUUUGUUGAUUAAACCCUUUUGGGGGAAAAUAAUCUAAG